GACGAACGCUGGCGGCGUGCUUAACACAUGCAAGUCGAACGAAGUGGCGACCGGGUGAGUAACGCGUAAUCAACCUGCCCUUCAGAGGGGGACAACAGUUGGAAACGACUGCUAAUACCGCAUACUGAAGCAGGGGUAUGCGUCUGAUGAGCUAGUUGGAGGGGAAACGGCCCACCAAGGGGAUGAUCAGUAGUCGGUCUGAGAGGAAGAACGGCCACAUUGGGACUGAGACACGGCCCAGACUCUUACGGGAGGCAGCAGUGGGGAAUCUUCGGAAAUGGACGAAAGUCCGACUGAGCAACGCCGCGUGAGUGAGGACGGCCCUCGGGUUGUAAAGCUCUGUCAACCGGGACGCGGUACCGGAAUAGAAAGCCACGGCUAACUACGUGCCAGCAGCCGCGGUAAUUC
rnacentral:rRNA from 1 species